AGAGUUUGAUCCUGGCUCAGGAUGAACGCUGGCGGCGUGCCUAACACAUGCAAGUCGAGCGGUAUAUAUUGGAUUGAAACUUCGGUCGAAUGAAGAUAUAGAGAGCGGCGGACGGGUGAGUAACGCGUAGGCAACCUGCCCCAUACACAGGGAUAGCCUCGGGAAACCGGGAUUAAAACCUGAUAACGCGGGAUGUUCACAUGGACAUUUCGCCAAAGAUUUAUCGGUAUGGGAUGGGCCUGCGUCUGAUUAGCUAGUUGGUGGGGUAACGGCCUACCAAGGCGACGAUCAGUGGCCGACCUGAGAGGGUAAUCGGCCACAUUGGAACUGAGACACGGUCCAAACUCCUACGGGAGGCAGCAGUGGGGAAUAUUGCACAAUGGGCGAAAGCCUGAUGCAGCAACGCCGCGUGAGCGAUGAAGGCCUUUGGGUCGUAAAGCUCUGUCCUUGGGGAAGAAAAAAAUGACGGUACCCUUGGAGGAAGCCCCGGCUAACUACGUGCCAGCAGCCGCGGUAAUACGUAGGGGGCAAGCGUUAUCCGGAAUUAUUGGGCGUAAAGAGUGCGUAGGUGGUUUUGUAAGCGCGGGGUGAAAGGCAAUAGCUCAACUAUUGUAAGCCCUGCGAACUGUGAGACUUGAGUGCAGGAGAGGAAAGUGGAAUUCCUAGUGUAGCGGUGAAAUGCGUAGAUAUUAGGAGGAACACCAGUGGCGAAGGCGACUUUCUGGACUGUAACUGACACUGAGGCACGAAAGCGUGGGGAGCAAACAGGAUUAGAUACCCUGGUAGUCCACGCCGUAAACGAUGAGCACUAGGUGUCGGGGCCGCAAGGUUUCGGUGCCGCAGUUAACGCAUUAAGUGCUCCGCCUGGGGAGUACGCACGCAAGUGUGAAACUCAAAUGAAUUGACGG
rnacentral:rRNA from 1 species